UGCAGUCGAGCGAAGAGAUGGGAGCUUGCUCCCUGAUCUUAGCGGCGGACGGGUGAGUAACACGUGGGCAACCUGCCCUGCAGACUGGGAUAACUCCGGGAAACCGGAGCUAAUACCGGGUAAUACAUCGCACCGCAUGGUGCAAUGUUGAAAGUUGGCUUUCUGAGCUAACACUGCAGGAUGGGCCCGCGGCGCAUUAGCUAGUUGGUAAGGUAAUGGCUUACCAAGGCGACGAUGCGUAGCCGACCUGAGAGGGUGAUCGGCCACACUGGGACUGAGACACGGCCCAGACUCCUACGGGAGGCAGCAGUAGGGAAUCUUCCGCAAUGGACGAAAGUCUGACGGAGCAACGCCGCGUGAGUGACGAAGGCCUUCGGGUCGUAAAGCUCUGUUGUUAGGGAAGAACAAGUACCGUUCGAAUAGGGCGGUACCUUGACGGUACCUAACCAGAAAGCCACGGCUAACUACGUGCCAGCAGCCGCGGUAAUACGUAGGUGGCAAGCGUUGUCCGGAAUUAUUGGGCGUAAAGCGCGCGCAGGCGGUCUUUUAAGUCUGAUGUGAAAGCCCACGGCUCAACCGUGGAGGGUCAUUGGAAACUGGAGGACUUGAGUGCAGAAGAGGAGAGUGGAAUUCCACGUGUAGCGGUGAAAUGCGUAGAUAUGUGGAGGAACACCAGUGGCGAAGGCGGCUCUCUGGUCUGUAACUGACGCUGAGGCGCGAAAGCGUGGGGAGCAAACAGGAUUAGAUACCCUGGUAGUCCACGCCGUAAACGAUGAGUGCUAGGUGUUGGGGGGUUCCACCCUCAGUGCUGAAGUUAACACAUUAAGCACUCCGCCUGGGGAGUACGACCGCAAGGUUGAAACUCAAAGGAAUUGACGGGGGCCCGCACAAGCAGUGGAGCAUGUGGUUUAAUUCGAAGCAACGCGAAGAACCUUACCAGGUCUUGACAUCCUCUGACAAUCCUGGAGACAGGACGUUCCCCUUCGGGGGACAGAGUGACAGGUGGUGCAUGGUUGUCGUCAGCUCGUGUCGUGAGAUGUUGGGUUAAGUCCCGCAACGAGCGCAACCCUUGAUCUUAGUUGCCAGCAUUUAGUUGGGCACUCUAAGGUGACUGCCGGUGACAAACCGGAAGGAAGGUGGGNAUGACGUCAAAUCAUCAUGCCCCUU
rnacentral:rRNA from 1 species